UCAGAUUCCGAGUUCCGGCUCCUAACCAUAGAGUGGCCUCAGGGUUUUAUAGAUUGUCCGGCUCUUUGGAUGAACAUCACACCUCAUGGAGGAGAGUCCCUUCCGUUUUAAUGGCUCCAGGUUGUCAUGGAAAUCCUCUGUAUACAAGAGGGUAAGGAGGAGGAUGAGAAGCAGCAAUACAUGCUUAUUGGGACUUUCUAUCACCCCAGGACUUAUCUAGACUUGUGCUUCCUAGGCAAUUUUUACAACACUAUUCAAAGAAAAGCAAAGGAUUGACUAACACAGAAGUCAGGAAGAGGUUAUCUGUCAGGGAUGAGGACACUGUGGCAGAGGCAAUGUGUGAUGGACAGUGUUGUUCAGACAUAAAAGAAGGCCACAUUUCCAACCCCCUUUAGAGUGAAGUCGAGGCCGUGUGGCAGCUCUUACCGAAGAAGUCACUCCUUGAGAAAGGCAGUUAAAAGCAGAUCUGACAGUAUAUGUGGGGACGUAAAGUGAAAGAGUGGUUUGGAAAAGCUAUUUCACAGCAUAUCUCAAAAACCAUCUGAAAAGAAAACACAAGAGGUUCGGUUGGUGCAAUGUUCCUUUCUUCCCACGACUUUCUGGUCUUCAAGGCUUUUUCAUGAGACAGAAGACCGAUAGAUGUAGAAGUUUCUAAGAGGACAGUUAUGCUGCCAUGUUUUGAAGCAGGAAGACCUUACCACUUCUCAAAGGUCUUUAAUUGCCUGACCACUGCUUCUCUUUGGAAGGCUGUUAGGGUGAUGGAAUCUCAGAUCACAGCACAGAUAAAAUGGACAAAGAAAGAAAGAUACAAGAAGGAUGUAAAAAUGUCCAUAAUGAACUCAUGUAUCUUGCGGAAACCUCUAAUCUAAUGAGAAUGGAUUUUGUUGAGAAGAUUGUAUACCAACAAUUAAUUAUUCAUGGCAGAGACAUCAUUAAGAUUUCAUUUUGUUUAAAGGCCUCUAAGUGACUUAGGAAAUUGGGUUAAGCUAGAGAAGAAUUUCAAGAAAGAGACAAGGGAAAGCUUUUCGUUAUAUUGACUUUUUCUUAUAUUUUCCAGAUAGAUAUUUUGAC